CUUGGUAGAGCUUGAUAGAUAAGCUUUUCUUUUACACAGAAAAAAUAUUUGUGCAAAUCAAAUUACCUUGA
rnacentral:tRNA from 1 species